AUGAAUCACCUUGACCCCGAAGAUGCCAUAUUCCUGGUUGAUGCAUUCCUGGAUGAGUGCAAGGUGGAUCAGCAUGGACAAACUAAAGGAGGUUCAAAACAAUCCACAAAGUUGUGUGUUUGGCCUGAUGAGGACAAAGAUGGUCAACCUCUGCCAAAAAGAUGUAGAGCUGGAGAGAAACGAAAGCGAGAUUCAGCUACUGUUUCUUCAGCAAGCGUUAAAAGUGUGUCCUGUGCUCCGUCUACCAGCACAACUGAAGACACAGUGAUCAUCGAAAAUUUUGACUCCCUCAUUCAAGAUGUCCGAGAACUCUUGGGAAGUGGUGAUGAACAGUCUUUCCCCUCAGAGUGGAGUAACAGGCAAACUACCUCUCUGGAGAAUUGGACAGUAAUGAGGCCCUUCAUGGUGAACAAUAUGUUGUCAUCUGAGAAGCCCAAGGAGGGGGUUUCCCAUCACUGUGGACACAAGGCUGCAGUAGUGAUGUGUAGGGACUGUUUACCACGAUCACUCUACUGCACAGCCUGUGACCUUUCCACACAUGAGGCCCUGGUGCUUCAUAACAGAGCAUCCAUGGUGGAGGGGUUCUUCAGACAACUGCAGCCAUCCACUUUUGUUCAGCAGCACGAGGGAGGGAAAUUCUCCUAUCAUGAAAAAGAUUGCAUGUUACCAAUCGUUCCUCCCUGCUGCGACUGCUCCACUGGGCAAACAAGCUUUUCCAAGGGAAAGCCAGUUAUUUUAAUUGGAAUGAAUUUCAGGAAGAUACAACCUCUUCCUUCCAUCAGUAAACUGCUCCUGUGGAAAAACCUUGCCAGUGACCAUAAGUGAUCUGGUUGAAAGUGGUUACUGGCCAGCCACUGUCAAUUUUGAGACCUUGUACAUGGUGGACUUGUUCACCACGUAUGAGGAUCUAAAAAUCACUGCCCCAGGGAUGUCCAGACAAGCUUUUGUCAGCAUGCUCGAGUGUCGUACAAAACUCUUCGGGCGAGUGAGUGGACUCAUCAUUUAGUUAUCCUGUUUGGAUCACCUUUUAGAGAUUCAUAGAACAGAUUCAUUGUUAGGACUUGUUGUUACAAUCCCCAAAGUUUCAGCACAUAUUUCUUGACAGAGCCCUUUCUUCAUCAUGACCACAGUCUAAAGCCAACCUUCGACACAGUUACUUACUUUUUUGUUUUUCACUUUUGCUCUAAGAGUGGUAAGAUUUGUGGGGACACAAUGCAGAGGGCCUUCCUCGAAUGGGCCUAUGCCAAAUUUGAGGUUGACAAGCUGUCUCAGGUCCAGCAUUUUCAGUGCCCUGCAUGCACACCAUACAUGUUGGCAGUUGCAGUGGAUGGGAACCGCAAAUUAUAUCGUUUCAAAAGCCAACCAGGGUGUGUAACAUUCAUGUACAAUGAAAUGCUAGUUAGCCACAAAUUACUUUUAUACAGUAAAUUUAACCCACAUCUAUAUAUUUCUUUCAAGACCUGAUGGGUUUUUUGAUGGAGUCUUUUUGGCAAAUGAUGCUGAUGUGUCCUCCUUUGUUGAUUACAUCCAUGAAACAACUGGACAUGUAAGCUAAAUUUAUAUUUCAUGUGUAACGCCACAAUUUUACAUUUUUAUGAAUGCUUGCCAGUUUUUUCCCCAAAAUUUAAACAUUAUUUGGUUUGCAUCAAAUGCCAUAAUACCAUGAUCUUUUUAAGAAUCCAGGGAAAGGGAGAUGUGGUGCGGGUCAGUGGACCGCAGCACGAGAGUCUGCCAACAAGUCUGGAAACAAACUAGACGAGGAAGGUGUUGAAGUUGCUGUCUGCCGUCAUGGGGUUUUGCUCAAGGGACUGAAUAUGUUCCGUGGAGAAAUAUUUGCAUACCCAUUAUAUCUCCAGAAACAGCUAGCUUCACAGACCGUCCAGUUUUUUUGCUCUGAUGUGGUCUGCAAAUAUUGGCCAUAUCUGCAGAAAGUUGUGGGCCACUGUCCAGAGUUGGAGGACUUGCUGAACAUGCGCCCAUUUCUCUCCAUCAUGCAUGCAAAAGCGCAUUCAUGGAUGUGUGAGGUAAUAAUGACAAUUAGAUGUAUUACUUACCAUUUGCAACACACAUUAUGAUUGUCUUUCCUCUGCCCCUACUUGUUGUUUUCCAAAUUAUAACAUUUAAAUGUGUUUCAGUUAAAAUGGGGGGGACGCAAUCAAGAAGGAGCUGGAACAACAAUCGGGGAGGAGGUUGAACAGGUUAACAGCUUCCUCUCUCGAGCAGCCAUAUGUUCCAAGUACAUGUCAAAAGCCGGUAAGCAUUUUUCAUGUAAAGUUGUGUCCAAAUUGAGACCAAGUGGUUUUAACACUAAUGCUCGGCCUUUGCUUUUUAGAGUUCCAUGCAUAGGUGCUCCCUUAGAAAACAACUGUCUAGUCAGCACUUUUACACUGAUCAGGAUUCUCUUAAUAAUAAUUUAACUUCUGACACGUUAAUUAAUUGUAUGAUUAUUUCCAGGUUUAUGUGACAAUAUUAGAGAAUGAUCAAUGUAGUAUCUGACCUGUGGUCCUCACUGUGAACCUAAAUUACUGCACAUACAUUG
ensembl:lncRNA